rnacentral:rRNA from 1 species
CCUACGGGUGGCAGCAGUGGGGGAUAUUGCACAAUGGGGGAAACCCUGAUGCAGCGAUGCCGCGUGAAUGAAGACGGCCUUCGGGUUGUAAAGUUCUGUCGCAGGGGACGAAAAUGACGGUACCCUGCAAGAAAGCUCCGGAUAACUCCGUGCCAGAAGCCGCGGUAAUACGUAGGGAGAAAGCGUUGUCCGGAAUUACUGGGUGAAAGGGGAGCGUAGGCGGGAGGGUAAGUUGAAGGUGAAAUCUAUGGGCUCAACCCAUAGCUGCGUUCAAGACUGUUCGUCUUGAGUGAAGUAGAGGCAGGCAGAAUUCCUAGUGUAGCGGUGAAAUGCGUAGAUAUUAGGAGGAACACCAGUGGCGAAGGCGGCCUGCUGGGCUUUUACUGACGCUGAGGCUCGAAAGCGUGGGUAGCAAACAGGAUUAGAUACCCGUGUAGUC